rnacentral:rRNA from 1 species
AGCGGAGGAAAAGAAACUAACAAGGAUUCCCCUAGUAACGGCGAGUGAACCGGGAUGAGCUCAAAUUUGUAAUCUGGCGUGCUCCGCGCGUCCGAGUUGUAAUCUAUAGAAGCGUUUUCCGUGCCGGACCGUGUCCAAGUCCCUUGGAACAGGGUAUCAAAGAGGGUGACAAUCCCGUACUUGACACGACGACCGGUGCUCUGUGAUACGUUUUCUACGAGUCGAGUUGUUUGGGAAUGCAGCUCAAAACGGGUGGUAAAUUCCAUCUAAGGCUAAAUAUUGGCGAGAGACCGAUAGCGAACAAGUACCGUGAGGGAAAGAUGAAAAGCACUUUGGAAAGAGAGUUAAACAGUACGUGAAAUUGUUGAAAGGGAAACGAUUGAAGUCAGUCGUGUCCAAGGGAUUCAGCCGGUUCUUCCGGUCUACUUCUCUUGGACGGGUCAACAUCAGUUUUGGCCGGUGGAUAAAGGCUGGAGGAAUGUGGCACCCUCGGGUGUGUUAUAGCCUCCUGUCACAUACAUCGGCCGAGACUGAGGAAUGCAGCUCGCCUCACGGCCGGGGUUCGCCCACGUACGAGCUUAGGAUGUUGACAUAAUGGCUUUAAACGACCCGUC